rnacentral:sRNA from 1 species
CCCCCGAGGGACAUGAGAGAAGAGGAGCGGCGCUCAGGUUAUUCCAGGAUCUUUGGAGACCCGAGGAAAGCCGUGUUGACCAAAAGCAAGACAAAUGACUCACAGAGAAAAAAGAUGGCAGAACCAAGGGCAACUAAAGCCAUCAGGUUCUGAACAGCUGGUAGAUGGGCUGGCUUACUGAAGGACAUGAUUCAGACUGUCCCGGACCCAGCAGCUCAUAUCAAGGAAGCCUUAUCAGUUGUGAGCGAGGACCAGUCGUUGUUUGAGUGUGCCUACGGAACGCCACACCUGGCUAAGACAGAAAUGACCGCGUCCUCCUCCAGCGACUAUGGACAGACUUCCAAGAUGAGCCCACGCGUCCCUCAGCAGGAUUGGCUGUCUCAACCCCCAGCCAGGGUCACCAUCAAAAUGGAAUGUAACCCUAGCCAGGUGAACGGCUCAAGGAACUCUCCUGAUGAAUGCAGUGUGGCCAAAGGCGGGAAGAUGGUGGGCAGCCCAGACACCGUUGGGAUGAACUACGGCAGCUACAUGGAGGAGAAGCACAUGCCACCCCCAAACAUGACCACGAACGAGCGCAGAGUUAUCGUGCCAGCAGAUCCUACGCUAUGGAGUACAGACCAUGUGCGGCAGUGGCUGGAGUGGGCGGUGAAAGAAUAUGGCCUUCCAGACGUCAACAUCUUGUUAUUCCAGAACAUCGAUGGGAAGGAACUGUGCAAGAUGACCAAGGACGACUUCCAGAGGCUCACCCCCAGCUACAACGCCGACAUCCUUCUCUCACAUCUCCACUACCUCAGAGAGACUCCUCUUCCACAUUUGACUUCAGAUGAUGUUGAUAAAGCCUUACAAAACUCUCCACGGUUAAUGCAUGCUAGAAACACAGGGGGUGCAGCUUUUAUUUUCCCAAAUACUUCAGUAUAUCCUGAAGCUACGCAAAGAAUUACAACUAGGCCAGGUACGAAAACACCCCUGUGUGAUCUCUUCAUUGAGAGACAUCCCAGAUGUCCUGCUGAGAUCCGUGCCCUAAGUCACGUGAUACAAAGAGAGCUGAUCCCGGAGCUGAAGCCAGUCCCAGACAGUCUUAUUCUGCCUCUGUUGAUUUGGAGACUAAAUCCACUCAAACCAUUUCAUUCAAAGACCAACUAAAGGAAUUAAGAGCAGAUUAGCCCUUUAACUAGCUUUUCAGAAAGACAGAUGGGCAAAGAAGGCAUCCUGGAUGCCUGGCAGUUAGGAAUAGGCCGACUUUUGAACUAACAGAAGGAUCUGUCCCUCCUCGGGGGAAGAGCACAAAACAAGGACACUCCCCAGAUUCACAGUGACCGAUUAUCAGUAUGUCACAAGAAGCCAGUCUUGCAGAGCAGAAGCAUGCAACCAGUAGUAUUUACAUCUGAAUCUUACUGCCUGUCCUCCAAAUGAUUUAAUUAGAUAAUUAAUUUACAUGCCAUUCAUGCAAAAA